GUGGGGAAUAUUGCGCAAUGGGGGAAACCCUGACGCAGCAACGCCGCGUGAGUGAUGAAGGCUUUCGAGUCGUAAAACUCUGUCUUUGGGGACGAAUAAUGACGGUACCCAAGGAGGAAGCCCCGGCUAACUACGUGCCAGCAGCCGCGGUAAUACGUAGGGGGCAAGCGUUGUCCGGAAUCACUGGGCGUAAAGGGCGCGUAGGCGGUUUGUUAAGUUAGGUGUGAAAGUUUUCAGCUUAACUGGAAAAGUGCACUUGAAACUAACUUACUUGAGUACUGGAAAGGUAAGCGGAAUUCCUAGUGUAGCGGUGAAAUGCGUAGAUAUUAGGAAGAACACCGGUGGCGAAGGCGGCUUACUGGACAGAGACUGACGCUGAGGCGCGAAAGCGUGGGGAGCGAACAGGAUUAGAAACCCCUGUAGUCC
rnacentral:rRNA from 1 species